GCAUAUCAAUAAGCGGAGGAAAAAGAAACUAACAAGGAUUCCCCUAGUAACUGCGAGUGAAGCGGGAAAAGCUCAAAUUUAAAAUCUGAUAGUCUUUGGCUGUCCGAGUUGUAGUCUGGAGAAGUGCUUUCCGCGCUGGACCGUGUAUAAGUCUCUUGGAACAGAGCGUCAUAGAGGGUGAGAAUCCCGUCUUUGACACGGACUACCAGUGCUUUGUGAUGCGCUCUCAAAGAGUCGAGUUGUUUGGGAAUGCAGCUCAAAAUGGGUGGUGAAUUCCAUCUAAAGCUAAAUAUUGGCGAGAGACCGAUAGCGAACAAGUACCGUGAGGGAAAGAUGAAAAGCACUUUGGAAAGAGAGUUAAACAGUACGUGAAAUUGCUGAAAGGGAAACACUUGAAGUCAGUCAUGUUAGCCAGAACUCAGCCUUGCUUUUGCUUGGUGCAUUUUCUGGUUGACGGGUCAGCAUCAAUUUUGACCGCUGGAAAAAGGCUAGAGUAAUGUGGCACCCUCGGGUGUGUUAUAGACUUUAGUCACAUACAGUGGUUGGGAUUGAGGAACGCAGCGCGCCGUAAGGCAGGGGUUUACCCACUUUCGCGCUUAGGAUGCUGGCAUAAUGGCUUUAAAUGACCCGUCUUGAAACACGGACCAAGGAGUCUAACAUACCUGCGAGUGUUUGGGUGGAAAACCCGAGCGCGUAAUGAAAGUGAAAGUUGAGACCUCUGUCGUGGAGGGCACCGACGCCCGGACCUGACGUUUUCUGACGGAUCCGCGGUAGAGCAUGUAUGUUGGGACCCGAAAGAUGGUGAACUAUGCCUGAAUAGGGUGAAGCCAGAGGAAACUCUGGUGGAGGCUCGUAGCGAUUCUGACGUGCAAAUCGAUCGUCAAAUUUGGGUAUAGGGGCGAAAGACUAAUCGAACCAUCUAGUAGCUGGUUCCUGCCGAG
rnacentral:rRNA from 1 species